rnacentral:rRNA from 1 species
GAUGAACGCUGGCGGCGUGCCUAAUACAUGCAAGUCGAGCGAACAGACGAGGAGCUUGCUCCUCUGACGUUAGCGGCGGACGGGUGAGUAACACGUGGAUAACCUACCUAUAAGACUGGGAUAACUUCGGGAAACCGGAGCUAAUACCGGAUAAUAUAUUGAACCGCAUGGUUCAAUAGUGAAAGACGGUUUUGCGGUCACUUAUAGAUGGAUCCGCGCCGCAUUAGCUAGUUGGUAAGGUAACGGCUUACCAAGGCAACGAUGCGUAGCCGACCUGAGAGGGGGAUCGGCCACACUGGAACUGAGACACGGUCCAGACUCCUACGGGAGGCAGCAGUAGGGAAUCUUCCGCAAUGGGCGAAAGCCUGACGGAGCAACGCCGCGUGAGUGAUGAAGGUCUUCGGAUCGUAAAACUCUGUUAUUAGGGAAGAACAAAUGUGUAAGUAACUAUGCACGUCUUGACGGUACCUAAUCAGAAAGCCACGGCUAACUACGUG